rnacentral:rRNA from 1 species
GAUCCUGGCUCAGGAUGAACGCUAGCUACAGGCUUAACACAUGCAAGUCGAGGGGAAACGACAUCGAAAGCUUGCUUUUGAUGGGCGUCGACCGGCGCACGGGUGAGUAACGCGUAUCCAACCUGCCCACCACUUGGGGAUAACCGUUGCGAAAGUAAGACUAAAUACCCAAUGACAUCCCACAAAGACAUCUGAAUGGGAUUAAAGAUUUAUCGGUGAUGGAUGGGGAUGCGUCUGAUUAG